UUUUCUCUUUUCAAAAUAACUUGUGUCUUUCUUCUUUCAAAAGAUUUUCAACUCGUUCAUGUUUCCUAUGUGUAAACUUUGCUUGUUUAUCCCCAUUCUACAUAAAGUCACAAUUAAGCGCAGUCGGGAAUCACACUAGUUGAUCUUGAGGGGUUCCUAACACCUUCCCCUCGAGAUAAUCUCAAGCCCUUACCCGAACUCUGGUUUUCAUUCAAAAUCUUCUUCUUUUCUUUAAAAGUGUCCUAACGCACUAUAAAAUUAGGUGGCGACUCUCCAAAAUCCAUAACACAAAAUUCCCCAAAAGGGGAUAAAAG
rnacentral:lncRNA from 1 species